rnacentral:lncRNA from 1 species
UGCCACGCAGGAGUAGACUUUAAUCCCGUCUAGUAAUACGAGCCAGGACUAAAUGGUCCUCUGUUUUUUUCUUUUUCUUUUCUUUUCACAAGUUUUGUUUAUUCAUUUAAUAGGGUUUCCAAUAUGUAUUCUUUGCUAUAUAUAUAUAUAUAUUAUACACUUUAAUCUCGGCUAGUAAUACGAGCCGGGACUAAAUGGUCCCCUGGUUUUUCUUUUUCUUUUCUUUUCACUAGUUUUGUUUAUUCAUUUAAUAGGGUUUCCAAUAUGUAUUCUUUGCUAUAUAUAUAUAUAUAAAAUAUUAGCAACAUAUGACAAUAAGCUUAUUUUAUGCAUAUAUAAUUGAAUUAUAUAACUACAUAUAUAUAUAAAUAUAUGCACAUAAAUAUAUAGAAAUUGUUCUCUAAAUCUAUUACUGCACAAGUUGUACUCCAAAGUUAAUACUCUAAACCUAUUACAAGUUGUACUUCAUCAUCGAAAGAUCUACAGGGCAUACAAAUGAUCAUCAUUGUUUGGAAUCAUCGUCUCGUCAGUAUUAUAGUGGAACUCGCCGCUUAGAUUUAUGACUUGUUCCCGUAGAAAUCUUGCUAUUGUCUCUUGUAUUGCUUGGAGUUGUUCAUGUUGCAUGAGUUUUUGCUUCAACCAUUCAGUCUUCAAUUUGAAUUAAAAGAAGGUAUUAGUUAUAUCAAGAUUAUCAAUAGUAAUUCGAGAGAAAAUGAAAAAAGACAUGGGUUACAUACUCUGAGAUAUUCUUUAGGAAUUUUAUUUGUUUCUACCAUAACAUACUCGCAAACGUAGUAUCCACAUAAGUUGUUCCUCGGUUCUUGUCUCAAGAUCCACUGUAGGAUGUAAAGAUUCAGCUCGUAAAAAUGACAAGAUAUAAGAUAUUCCACGUACAUUGAUGAAGGAUAAACUUACUUGUAGCUGUAUUAACUUUAGUGGCGCCCUAUAUUGACUUAGAUGUUGCUGAACAAUGAAUCUUUCCCAAACCCUAAACCAAUGAUAUAUAUGAAACAAGAGAGUUGGAUCGUUAAGUAUACAUAUAUACAAGCUUAGUCUACUUUACGCAUGCAAUGGAUCAAAAUUACCUUUGAAUGAUGUCUAUCAUAUCUUGAUAAUCUUGUUGCGGUUUCUUCAUUGAGCAAGAUCGAUGACUAUGAGUAUCCAGUGAAAGCUGUUCAUAGAGACAUGAGUUGUAGAUUAGGGUUAAGUAAAAUUAAAGGUGUACACUUGCAUGUUAACUAUAUAUAUAACUCACUUGAAGUUGUAGGGGAAGAGUAUUCUUUUUUGUCUUUUUGGUUCAGGAAGAACCUCAUAAGAUUCGUACACA